rnacentral:rRNA from 1 species
UACGUAGGGUGCAAGCGUUAUCCGGAAUUAUCGUGGCGUAAAGAGCUCGUAGGCGGUCUGUCGCGUCGAUCGUGAAAACUUGGGGCUUAACCCUGAGCUUGCGGUCGAUACGGGCAUGACUGGAGUUCGGCAGGGGAGACUGGAAUUCCUGGUGUAGCGGUGAAAUGCGCAGAUAUCAGGAGGAACACCGGUGGCGAAGGCGGCGCGCUGGGCUGGAACUGACGCUGAGGAGCGAAAGCGUGGGGAGCAAACAGG